rnacentral:rRNA from 1 species
AUUGAACGCUGGCGGCAUGCCUUACACAUGCAAGUCGAACGGUAACAGGUCUUUCGGGAUGCUGACGAGUGGCGAACGGGUGAGUAAUACAUCGGAACGUGCCUAGUAGUGGGGGAUAACUACUCGAAAGAGUGGCUAAUACCGCAUGAGAUCUAUGGAUGAAAGCAGGGGACCUUCGGGCCUUGUGCUACUAGAGCGGCCGAUGGCAGAUUAGGUAGUUGGUGGGAUAAAAGCUUACCAAGCCUACGAUCUGUAGCUGGUCUGAGAGGACGAUCAGCCACACUGGGACUGAGACAUGGCCCAGACUCCUACGGGAGGCAGCAGUGGGGAAUUUUGGACAAUGGGCGCAAGCCUGAUCCAGCAAGCCGCGUGCAGGAUGAAGGCCUUCGGGUUGUAAACUGCUUUUGUACGGAACGAAAAGUCUUGGGUUAAUACCCUGGGAUCAUGACGGUACCGUAAGAAUAAGCACCGGCUAACUACGUGCCAGCAGCCGCAGUAAAAC